AAUAGUCGGUGCUUUCUUUGUAGUGUAUUGUUUUCAUAGUGCUGAAAUCAACACUUAGGGUCGGAUACUUUCAUUAUCUGGCCUGGGAGUUCGAGCAUUUCUACCUUCCCUUGCAAGGGAGGGGAUGGAGAAGAUCUGUCAGAGAGGUUCCUCUUGUAAAUACUCAACCCAGCUCCUCAUUCGGGCCAACAUGGACGCUCAUUAUCGGAAGCUGCUUGGAGCCAAAGCUGAAGUGGACUGCUCUCCUCCC